rnacentral:rRNA from 1 species
AUUGAACGCUGGCGGCAUGCCUUACACAUGCAAGUCGAACGGCAGCACGGGGGCAACCCUGGUGGCGAGUGGCGAACGGGUGAGUAAUACAUCGGAACGUGUCCAGUCGUGGGGGAUAACCAGUCGAAGGAUUGGCUAAUACCGCAUGCGCCCGAAAGGGGAAAGCGGGGGACCCGAGGGUAACUUCGGGCCUCGCGCGAUUGGAGCGGCCGAUGUCCGAUUAGCUAGUUGGCGGGGUAACGCCCACCAAGGCGACGAUCGGUAGCUGGUCUGAGAGGACGAUCAGCCACACCGGAACUGAGACACGGUCCGGACUCCUACGGGAGGCAGCAGUGGGGAAUAUUGGACAAUGGGCGCAAGCCUGAUCCAGCAAUUCCGCGUGUGUGAAGAAGGCCU